rnacentral:lncRNA from 1 species
GGAAAAGUCAAGAUGGUGUCUACAGGGAGUUUUCACUUCUACAUUCCAGCAUCUUCUGUGCAGGAAGAUACCCUGGAGGCUACCAAAAGAGAAACGUAAACACCAACACAAUCAUAAUCUGUCCUCCCUGCAAGGUCAGUGUCAUCAUCAGAGAAGCUUUCCUCCUGCAGCAGACAAGAACAGAUGCAGAGACCCACAGCAAGACAGUAUACAGAGAGAGAGUCAUUGGGACACACAACUCUAAGUGGGAUGUCUCCACCAAAUCCCUCCCCUCAGAGUUCAGGGAACCCCAUGGAAGAGAGGAGCCAAAGGAGACGGAAGACAUCAAAACAAGGUCCCCUGAAUCAACUAAGAGAUGCAUCAAUGAACUCACAGAAACUGAAGCAGCAAGCUGUAUGGUGACUUACAACCAUCCAAACACCAUUUCCAGGGAAAUGUCUCAGUGGUGUGGUGGUUUGAAUGAAAAUAGCCCUCAUAGGCUUGUAAGGAGUGACAUUCUUUUAAUAAGUUAGGAUAUAUGGCCUUCUUGGAGUGGGUGUGGCCUUGUUGGAGGAAGUGUCACUGGGUGGGCUUUCAGGUUUCAGAAGCUCAAGCCAGGCCCAGUGUCACUCUUUCUCCCUGCUGCUGGUCCAGAUGUAGCACUCUCAGCUAGUUCUCCAGCAUCAUGUCUGCCUGUGUGCCGCCAUGCUUCCUUCAGUGAUAAUGGACUAAACCUCUGAACCCAUGAGCAAGCCAGUGAUCAGCAUCUGUCCAUGGCCUCUGCAUCAGCUUCUGUCUCCAGGUUCCUUCCCUGAUUGAGCUCCUGUCCUGACUCUUUCAAUGAUGGACAACAAUAUGG